rnacentral:rRNA from 1 species
AUGCUGGAACCGGCCUUGGCGGGAGCUACAAUCAGUGGCCUUUUUUGCUACAACCGUUCUUUUGUUUUGCUGGAAUUAGCGACCUUUUUUGCUAGGAUCUGUAAUUUGAGAUGUUUUUUGCUGGAACUAUCUCUAAUUUUUGCUACCACCGUCUAUGAUUUUUGCUACCACUGGCCUUUUCGAUUUUUGCUACCGCCCGUCUAUAAUUUGCUGCUGAAACCCAGUUUCAAUUUUUUGCUACCAUCGUCUGUGUUUUUUGCUGCCACCGUCUUUGAUUUUUGCCACCAUCCCAUCUUUUGA